UGGAUCAUCUACCUUUUAGUGGGGAAUAACCUUGGGAAACUAGGGAUAAUACCGCAUAAGCCCGAGAGGGGAAAGCAGCAAUGCGCUGAAAGAGGAGUCCGCGGCCGAUUAGCUAGUUGGCAGGGUAAAAGCCUACCAAGGCAUCGAUCGGUAGCCGGCCUGAGAGGGCACACGGCCACACUGGCACUGAAACACGGGCCAGACUCCUACGGGAGGCAG
rnacentral:rRNA from 1 species